AGAUGACGAAUGCCAGUCUUCGGACGAGUGUGACGCGUCCAGGGGCCUCUGCUGCCAGAUGCAACGAAGGCACCGCAUGGCACCAAGAAAGGUGUGCUAUUACUUCACGGACCCCAAGAGCUGCAUUGGCAGUGUAGCCGCGGCUCCUAUGAUGGACUUCUACUCACCGAGCUACAGGCCUUACAAGUCCAUGAGUUUCUUCCACAACCCCUUGUUCAAGGCUCGGAUGGGUUAAACCAGGCUGGACGUCUUCCUACCGCCGUAAUCCUAGCGUAGGCAACCCACCCACUCAGUCCGCACUAACGAAAGCCACGGAGCUGCUACCAUCAUUUUGGCCUAAGCGGUGCUCAGAGUAGGCGCUGCUUUUAUUUACGCCAGCGUUUGUUUUGAUUCCCGCCUACCAAAGAUAUCACCAGCUUUCGUGAGAGAAACCUGCGUGAGCCCCUAUUGGCGCAUAUCUUUCUAGACUAAGAACGCCGUUGAAGCCUGUGGUAAACAUAUUUUUGUUCCCUUUGCAAAGAUAUUUGUGACCUGUAGUUUAUGGCACAGAAAGUGGUUAUUUAUUAGGUCUAUUUCUCAGUAAAGGAAAUAGAGUACAAUUAUGAGCGAGAUCGUCAUGGAUUAUGAGCAAUAACUAAUGAGAGCAGGCCUAAGUUACCUCUAAUUAUUUUUUCCCGCAUUUGGCUUUGUUUUCUUCAUGGCAAACAACUAACAGAAUAGAAGGCUGGAGCAACGCACGUAUCGCUAUUACAGUUUCUAAGGAAAGUCACAAACAUUCUAAGUUAUGCGAAGAAGAAACACCGUGUAGAAAUAUGUUGGUAAUGUGAGUGCUUUUAAUAACAGAAUGACAGAACAGACGAGCCGACCUUGCGCGUCAGCCUAGCGUGCUUAGAAUCCGCUCACAUGAAAGCGACUACGUUUGGGAGCACUGCUCUCAUCGUGGCGAAGGGCUCUCGAAUCAACAAAUAUUAGCGCUUCUCUGUGAAGAAGUGAACAAUCAUAUUUCGCUGCGUGGCUAACUCGCGUCGCUAUGGCGAGGAGCGGCCGCCAUUAGUGCAAUUCAAUAUUUGGAAACAGUCCUUUUGAACGAUCUUAAUUCUCACAACCCUAAAUAGAGGUACUCAAGCAUUGCCUUUGUUGUGUUACAGCACUACAAGGACAAUGUUGGCUAAACGCCGGCUCCCCUCGCGUGUUCUAUAAAUACAUGUGCGCCUGCUUUCUUUCUUGGUGUUGCUUUGCAGCGAGUUAUGUUCCGUCUAGGACUAAGUCUGGUACUAUUAGAGCGGUUUCGCACGCCUGGCUGACGAAAACCUUGGAAAACGGCAAAAGUACCCCAGUUAUUCUGAGCUGUAUAUGAUACUUUGAGUAUAAUUUUCAGCUCAGAACAACGCAUACGACGACGCUCUUUAGGCUGGUACUACAGCUAUUUAGAUCUUCUUGCAACAUCUUUGUUCCAAAUAGAUGUCGCUUGAUUUCUUGUCGGUUGGAAUGCCUUUUUAUUGAGAACAAUGUCUAAGGAAUCUAUUGGAAAUGGUGCAAUCGGUUUGAUCUUGGUCUAUACAAUCGUUCGGCCGCAGACUUCUAGUGGAUCGCAACAUGAAUAGUUAUGUGUCAAGACAAUUAUUCAAAACAGUUGUCAUUAGGGUUAUCCUCUAUGUAACGACAGCAUUAAUGGCUAAAUUUUAUCACGUCGCGGUCACUGCACACUCAAGAAAGCAACUUGCACUUCCACUUAGCACUUUUGGCCUUAAAAUGCCAAAGUAUCACUCUUUCUUACAUUAAAAUCAUUGCUGUAGGUCACUCCACAUUCCUCGAGUGCUUUAAAGAGGCAAUCUCGCUCUUGAGGCCCUGCGUCCCGGCUUUCGGCCACAUUUCCUAGUUAACCAGCAUAAAACUCCCACAUCGUACAAGUUUUCUUGCGGCGUACAAUCUCUCAGCAACUCAUGUGGUAUGGAUCUUCAUGGGAGAACGGGCAUGCCUUUUUGGCCAUGCAUGGCGCAUUAGACAAUCAUAUCCCACUUUAAUGCGCCAUAAAGUGUGCACUUACACUCAUGUGCCCUGAAAUGGUUGUCCAUAUUUCACUAAAAAAAGUAUGUUGAAAUAAAGCCCAUUCGCAUCAA
rnacentral:lncRNA from 1 species